rnacentral:pre_miRNA from 15 species
CUGAGGGGGGACACACCUGACUUUAUAGAACCUGCAUUGUACACACUGUGUGUUUUCAUUCCCAUGCACAGCGCAUACAAUGUGGAUACUAUAAGAGUCACUGACAGCAUCAGUGCC